AUAAUCAUUAGCCUCUUAAUUAGGGGAUGGAAUGAAUGGUUGAACUUUUACAUGUUUUAUUAAUAUUAUUUAAUUGAAUUUUGAUUGUAAGUGAAAAUACUUAUUUAUUCCUAUUAGACGAUAAGACCCUAUAGAUCUUUAAUACUAUUAGACUUAAUUAAUUUGGGGGGAUUAAUUAGGUUGUUUAGUAUUUUAGCUGGGGCAGCAAAAGAAUAAAUAAAACUUCUUUAUUUACUGGUUAGAUAUAAUUUAACUUAAUCUUGAAUUUUAAAUGAAUAAUAAGUUACCUUAGGGAUAACAGCGUAAUUAAUUUGGAGAGCCCAUAUCGAUAAAUUAGAUUGCGACCUCGAUGUUGAAUUAUGAAAUCUAACUAGGGCAGCUUUUAGUUAAGAUGGUUUGUUCAACCAUUAAAUUCUUACAUGAUUUGAGUUCAAACCGGUGUGA
rnacentral:rRNA from 1 species